CCUUCCUAAAACACAUUUUCUCAGGAAACUAGUCAUUAGCUGUAUCCAGCUUAGGAUAUGCUCUGUUCUGGCUCUAGAAGACAGAAAAGGAGAAAAGAAAUCAUACUUAUUUGGUUUUUUUCUUUCAGUUUCAACCUUUUUUUGACAGGUAGAAAAGAGAAAAAUAAUACUUCUUGCAUUUCCCAGGCAGGUAAGUUCCAAAGAAAGUCACUGUUUAAUAAGAGAGUCUUAUAACUUUGCUUCUACUUUAACACUGGGCUAGGAAAAGGAACAGAUAGGGGAAAUCCACUGUGGGUAUGUCAGAACUUGCUACUUAAUUUCUUCUUGGUGUGAACCAGGAGUUAGCCUUUGAUUUCUGAUGGAAUUGGACUUCCUAAUCUUUUAUCCUCUCAUUCUUUAGCUUUUUUUCACAUUAUUCUUGAUGUUUAUUAAGUUCCAAGGUAUCCUUUCCUUCUCAGCCAAUGUAAAGACUGAACAAUACAAUGGGAAUUAGAUUUAAAGAAAAAAAUCCUGGCACUAUGUUUCCAAGGUAAUUAUAUCCUAGAUAUAUUUAAUGUAAGGGCUAUAAACUCUGUUUUAAAGAAAGUUACAAUGAUGACACAACAAGAAAUUUUGUUAUUUUUAACAUGGGUAUUUUAGUUUUAGAAAGAUUCCACUCAAUGUUUCCCAAAUUUAAUGUUUCACAUAAUGGUCAGUCUUAAUAUGAAUGUGGGAAAAAAAGACAAGUCCAAACAUAGAAUAUUAUUUUCAAAAAAUAGUGAACUAAAUGUAAAGGUCCAGUAAAAUGUGAUAUCUAGAUUUUUCUGAGCUCGUUCACAUGACCUUCAUUCUAUUUAUAGAAAUGCAGCAAUUCCCAUUUGAAUAUAGAGCAAUACCUUGUAGGAGAAUUUGGUUUAGCACAAAUAAACUUGGGGAAAGUGUUGACUUAAAAAUAAAACACUGGAAGAGGAGGGAAGGUUUCUUCUUCCCCCUCUGUGAAAAUUUCCGGAAAAGUUGUAAACAAAUGCAGGUUUGGCUCAGAGACUGAAUGACUCUGGUGAGCUGAGGAGGAUGAAGAGUAUAUCAAACCUCCCAGAGUGAGGAAAUGUUUGUAAAACAGUUAGUAAAUCACAGGCGGCCAGGGUCACCAUGCUGAACAACUCGAAGGACACACAGCCAAAACCCCAGCUGUGAAAGAAGGGGGCCAGGCCCCGUUCACAGCUUGAACCCCAUUUUGAAUGAUCUCUUGGUUCCAUUCUCUGCCCUUUCCCCUCUGUCACGUCAGAGUUCCGACAACCACUCAUUUAAUUAGCCCAGGGCCACAGGCAGCGCUGUCUGUCCCUCUACCUCACAAGGUGAGGAUACCAGGACACUGAAAACGUUCUCUGCAAAGUGAUACUGAUUGAGCCUUUGGUCCUAGGGACAAAGCUGAAAGUUCCAGCUGGGAAGAAAGAAUCACACUCAACCUGGAAAAAAAAACAGUUUACAAAGAUAAACAGAAGACAAAGUAUGUAGCUGGAAGUUUCCAUGAAUUUUGAACUAUCUUUUCAAGCCCUUUUUGAUCACUGUUCUCCCUAACUAUUCUAUGAUACAUCUGUUAAUUAUUCUUUUCCUGAUUUUACACAGAUGACAAUGUGGAAACUGUUAAGUACUUCAUAAACUGUCUCUUUUGUGCCCCGACUGUCCCCCAGAAGUCAGGAAGACAAAAGUAAAAUAAAAUAAAAAUAGGAAUGAAGAACUGCUAAGGGAGAGAGAAGGGAAGAUGUACUCUGGAAGCCUCUUCUUAACGACUCUGCACAGAAGUUUCUUCCCGACUGGAUUUACACUUAGUUCUCUUCAUUAAUCUUCACUCUUCAAAAAUGAUUUUUUAAAGACUUCAUAUUCUUUCUUCACACCAAACUCAAUCUGCUCACUCAGAGAACAUUACUAUGGUAUGAAUGAAGGAUAAUUAUUGAUGGCUUAAAAUUAUUCUUGAAAAUGAGAAGUAUGGUGAUAAACAAAAGUUUAUUUUCCAAAUAUUGAAUGAAAAAGAGGUGUACGAGAUAAAAGCAAAUACCUAUUGAUUACAACCAACAGAGACUAAAGACAGGCACAGUAAGGUGCUUACAUUGGAAAAAAAAAAGUUUUGAAAUUAUAUGAAAAACGCUUCCCUUUUAGAUCCAGGAGGUACAAAAAAAAAUUUUUUUUUUCAAGAGAGAGGUGAUAAACACAGGCAUUAGCAAACUUCUCCAGUAAUCAUGUAUAAUUUAAUAUGAGUCCUGACUCACAACAGAGGAUGAAGACCACCCUAGUCUCAAUGCUGAUAUUAUAAAUAUAAACCUGCUUAGAGAAAAUUCAGUACCUUGAUUACCUAAAUUGAAACAGGACAGAUACAUAAGAGUCAGCUUUCCUGGUGAAAGCUAUGGACUUCAUACAAAUUAUUCAGGCUGUUUAUUCCUACUAUAGACACAUUACUUUUAUCUCUUUUGGAUACUUCCACCAUGUAAAAGCAACAGGGCAUGUGCUGUUGAGUUGUUUUUCUGGCCUGGCAUUGAGUCAGACACACUCUUAGCUCAUCUCUCACACUUUUGUCAUAAUGGCAGGCCAAUGUGAUGCCAUAUAAUUCUCAGUUUUGCUUUGCAAAAAAUUAACUUAGCCCAUCCAGAGAUCAAACAAAAUUUGGGACCCAAAGCAUUCUUAUUCUAACUAAUGGAAUAAUUAGCCCAGAUAGCCUAGAGCAGAAAAACAAGAAAAAUCAAGGAAAGUAAACUCUGUUGAGAGCUCUAGUAAUGCUUUGAGUAAUACUUCAAGGCAUUUGAGAAAAGCCUGGGUUUUGAAGCCAGAUCUGGAAUCAAAUAUUGAUUUCAAUCUUUUAAGCUGUGUUAGACUGGGCAAGCUAUCUCAGACAUCAUCAGUUUCCUCAUCUGCAAAAUGGAGAGAAAAAAAUCACUACCUACUAGGAGUCCUGGUAGAAUGAAGUGUGUUACUUCUGAAAGUACCCGGAAUGGUGCCUGCCACAUUAAAAACUACUAAAAAAUGUCAGUUUCCUUUUUCCAAUUCUCCCCUCAUUUCACUGGAGAAUACAGAAAAGCCUUUCUUUAAAAGUCCAUGGCUUUUUCAGGCAGAACAUGAAAUGUACUUCAUGAAGGGGGCCACAGCAUUCUCUCUCACCAUUAACCACAACUUGGGCAAACUCGCCAGGACCUCAAGUCUCUCACCUCCUCUAGCACCACAUCUGUUAUAGUCUAAGUCAAAAGGACUCGGUUAAGCCUCAAGGAAGAGAGUGUCCCCCCAGUAAUAAAUGGACUUGACUCAACCUUUGGAUAUUUAGCUAUUUAAACAUGUUGCUCACAGCUCAUGUUCUCAGCUUGAGGAAUUCCUCUUGGAUCCUUUCUCCAGUGGCAAUGGAAGAUUUGCACAUUACAUUCCUUGCCCCCUUAUUCAGCUGGCAAGUCAGAUAAAAUAAAAAUAAAUUCAGAACAAAUACACACACAUACACAUGCUUCAGUGCUAUUGUGAGUCAGACAAGUAUGUGAUUAAUACAGGAUGGAAGUAUGAUUUUCGUUCAUAAGGCUCCUCCCUCUAAUUCUGAUACUGGUAGAUAUUUGCAAAUGUCAGUCUGCAUUUCAGAAGAAAUACUGCUGUCAUGUUAGAUUUUACGUUUAGGUUAAAUUUCAACUUAAUUUUUUAAAAGCAAGAUCUCAUAAUUUUAGCAGCGCUAACAGACAACUGAAUAAUGACUUAAAAUUUUUUUACCAUAUGUCCUCUUAUGCUCUGCCUGGUAGAUGGGUAAAUAGUACUUCCUGAGUAAGGAUCAAAGACAAAUACUUGUCCUCGGAGCUUCUCUUUGACUUUAAAAUCCUAUGUGAGGGGUUUUUGUGGUCUAGAAUUUUCCAAUUCUGUUUGGAAUUUCAGCACUUGAGUAUUAGCUCAGAGAAGUGUCUUCAUAGAAAGAAUUAUAAAUUCAGUCUACCUGUACCUGGCCCCAUAGGUGUGGCAAAGAAAAAAAACCCAAAUAUUGGCUGAAACAGAAACAGGGUAAUACCAAAAAGAUAAUACUGUUAUGAGAGCUGGUGAGUCAGCCAAACAACUGAAGAUAUCAUACCACCACCCUAGUUGAGAAUUAAAAGAAAUUCGCUCUACUUCUAAAGCCCCUCUACUAGGAAUGGUUGGCUGCAAAGGAUCAGGAUCCAGGAGGCUAACAUUUCCACAUCAGCUCUGCCAUUGAUUUUCUGUCUGGCCUUGGGCAAGGUGAGGACCUCUUCUGAAGCUCAGGUUCCUCUACUGUGAAAUGAAGAUAGUCUCUCUCACACUAAAUUGAUAUGGCUAUAAAAUGAUAAAGAUGAUAUGCUUUGUCAACAGUAAGUGCCAUAGGGAUGUUAGCUGUUACUAUUAUCCAAUGAUAUGCUGACCAGUAGGGCCAGAAUGAUAGGCUAACUGACUGAUUUUAUUAAUCCAAUUCGCAUUCAUUCAAACUACUUUGACUCCUUCUGAUACCUCAAACAAGCUGUGCUGACCUAAAUAAAACUUUUAUCACUAAGUCAACAGUAAAUUCUAAGGUUUUUUUGUUUUUGAAAGGGAGUAUAAGAAAUGAAGGGCCUUCUACUCAAACUGGCUUAGACAGGAUGCUGUAGUUAGUUUUGUUACAUUUUUCCCAAGCAUGUUUCUAUUUAAAAUCAUCCUUUUGCAUUAUUCUGGAAGAGAGGGUAACUCUUAUCUCAUCUAAAAUUGGUGUUUCCAAUUUCCUUAUAUAACAAGGCUUGAAUGUUGUGGAGGAAGUAGGCAAAAACUAAGGAACCAAGAAAGAUCAAAAAGCAAGAGACCUAUAACCUAUAAGGUUAAGAGGUUAUGACCCUAGGCCCUGAAGUAAGGUGGAAGUCUAGAAAGAUGUUUUCAGGUACUUUUAAGCAACUAACUUUACAGGACUUUUUGAAAACGGAUAGAGAUAGGAUCUAAUGCUUACAAUAACAUUACUGGCAUGGAGACACUUAGAAAGAUCAUAGAGAUCUCAUCAAAAUUAACCUGUCAUUGUUUCUGAGGAAGGGGCUAUAGGAUUAGUAAUUCAUUACUGUUUGCCUUCACUGUUUAAAAUCAACAUUUGUCCAUACUGAAAGUAUUUCUUUUGACUUACAUAUCAUGGUUAUUAUCCUAGUCCUAAUAAACCUUUGGCAAAGCAGUCAGGCCACAGAUUAGAAGAAUAGAUAUGAUUACAUAACCACAUUGAAACACAUGCACAUCUAAACAAUGGUGUCGAUCAUAUCCUAAAUUUGUCUUGGUACUAUUUGCCUUUAAAACAAGAGAGGAAAGUGGCAGUCAUAUAGUGUCAAGAUGUCACUGAUUAACACCACAUACUGGUCUCCUCUCUCUGUUUCUCUAACAUUUGAUAGGGAAGUAGUUAUAGCCAUGGCAGGAUGGAGAGGAAGAGUAAGGCUGGCUGGUGUCAUAUACAUUCAGUUCAACAGAACAGAUAUAAACGUAUGUCUUAUAUGGUUGCACAUGGUACACAAAUGGCUAGAAGAGGAAGAGAAAAUGGAAGGAAAAACUAUCUUCCUGGUAUAUCCUAGCAAGACCAUAAUGAAUUGUAGAGUGGGAAAGUUUUAAGAAACAUAAAAAGAAGAUACAGAGCUACUUUAAAGUCAGAAGCCUCUACCAAAUACUUUUCUUCACUAUAAACUACAAAAUGAAGAAAAAUAUUUGUUUCCAUUAUAUAUCACUAGUAACCAAAGUAUGAUAAAAAUAUAUUCAAAAGUCUUUGGAGUUUGUAAACAUAUAUUAGAGACCUUAGUCAUCAAGGAAGAAUCAGUGAUUUCUAAGUAUCAUUACCUUAAAAGCUUUAGAAGCAUGUACCUUUCAAACUUCCAAUUAUGUUAAACUAAUCUGCAUCAAUCUAAGGAAACAUUUAGAUACUCAGAGUCAGGAAAUUAAGCCACUAGUUCUUAAAUUCUGAGCACACUUCUAAGCCUCAGUCUUGCUUUUAUACUUAAAGUUUGUAGAUAAAUGCUAGGAAGAUGUUGGAGAUGAACUGAACAUGUAUUCAAGUUAAAUAGAUUAACCAGAAGUAAGUGCACAGAAACUUUUUAAAAAGGGCUGGGUACCGGCACAGAAAAUAGCAGGGAUAGCAAUGACAAUUUGUCAGAAACCCCUUUGCCAUACUCUCCAUCUCCUAUAAAACAUAACUGAACUGGCGUGUAAAUUAAGGUAAUAAAAAGCCCCCCCCCUCAAAAAAUUCAACAUUAAGCGACUGUAGGUAUUCUAGAAGAAAACAUCUAAAUGAGACAAUGAUUUCAAAAUCAGCAUUUCCUGUACCUUAUUUAAAUUUCCCAUCAGCAAACAUCGACUAGACACUCGUAUGUGCAAGACUCUGUGGAUACAAAUGAGUAAGACCUAGUUUUCUUGCCCUCCGAAUGCUUAACAUCUGGUAAGUACUACAUACACAGAGAGGAUAGACUCCUGACACAUUCUUAGCACACUUACCUUAUUACUUAUCCAUGGAAAUAACCUGACUAAAACAUCAUCUAGAAACCACCAGAAUAUCUAAUAAAAUGUUGAUGCUUGAGAAACACUUGCUUUGAUCCUCUAGGGCUACAGACCAGAGUGGAAAGCAAGCGCAGUUACAGAGUAAAUUGGGGUGUAUCUGGGAUCAGCAGAUGGCACUGAUGAUCUCAGGCUUCUAUAGCUCUUUACCCAGCUUGGACUAGCGCUGUUCUUCCUAAGCCCCGGGUCUGUAUGUAUGCAUGCCUGACUAGGGGUCCACCGCAUCCACCAGCUACACACCCUACCUUUGUGACCUCCACUACUCUGGCGGGAAGAUGAGAGGAAGUAUCUCAGAUGAUCACUACAAGUUCCUUCUAGUUGUUACAUUCCAUGAGUAAAGCUAAAAUGUUUGUUUCAGGUGGAUCAUUACAAGAAGGAAAAAGCAUUAUUUAACUUCUGUGUCAGACUAGCAUUCUCUAAGACAACGUCUCCAUUUUGGCAAAAGACCCUAAUUUAUGUCUCUUUAUGGAUUCCAAUAGCAUGAGCUCAUCCUACACCUAAAAAAAUGUAUUCAUUAUGUAAGCUUUCCCUUAAGCAAAUAUAAGGCUGGAGAGGAGGAAAGUGCUGCUUGCCAUUCAAUUUGGCUUCAGCAGAACUUCCCAUUAUUAGGGAGGAGGCUGCCCAUUUCUAGAUAAUGAGAACAAAUUUUUCAUCGUCAUUGUGGUGUCUUUUAUUUCACUAUGUCACUCUGGAAGAGUUUGAAAGUCAUAUACUCUCCACCUUUGCCUCUUGUAGCAACAACAGGUUAUAAAAAUAAUACUUUGUCUCAUGGUAUGCAACCUUAAGAUGAACUCAGGAAAAUAGUAUUCGUUUUUCUGUUGGAUAUAUUAGAUGUGCAAUAACGAUGUACUAUAAAGCAAAUCAAAUUACAAAAAUGAACCCUAUCCCUUGGAUAAAGUUCUGGGAGUGAGCCAACACCACAAUUAUUAUCUUCUCUAGCAUUGAAUGUUCUACAUAAGUGUUUGGAAGAUGUAAACAGGAUAUAAAUCUGAGAUCGGGAGAGAACAGGUCUGAACUCUAGUCA